GCCUAUGAACAAAUCACCUCGUGUGUGUCCGAUCUAGGAAGCUAAGCAAGGUUGUGCCUUGUUAUUACUUUGAUGGGAGAGUGACUAGGAUAACCAGGUGUUCCAGGCU
rnacentral:rRNA from 1 species